rnacentral:tRNA from 1 species
GCCCGGGUGGCGUAAUAGGUAGACGCGGCGGUCUUAAACACCGCUGUCCUUCGGGGCGUGGGGGUUCAAGUCCCUCCCCGGGCA